rnacentral:SRP_RNA from 1 species
UUCAGGCAUGAUAGCACACACCUAACAUCCCUGCUAUUAAGGAGAAUGGGGCUGACAGUUCUCUUGAACUUAGGGUUUCUUAGCUUCUAUGGACUAAGCCAAUUAAGUAUCCACACUAAGUUCAGCAUCUGUAUGGUAAGCCCCUGGGAAAAGAGGACACCAGGUUGCAUAAGGAAGGAUAGCUUGGCCCAAGUUAGAAACAGAGCAGGGCAAAGCUCCUGUGCUGUUCACUAGUGGAAUUAGGUCUAUACUUUUAGCUUGGGUUAAGUAGGGAGAUGCAGUCUUU